rnacentral:lncRNA from 13 species
CCUUAUGAAGAGAAUGUAAGUUCAUCCCAGUGGGAUCACUGAAAAGCUAAAAGCGGGGAAGGUGAACCGAAAGGCCCAUGCUUUGGACAUUCUGUUCCUAUGAAUCGUAUUUGCUUGGGAAAUUAAGCAGGAACAAGAGCAUUUUGGAAAACAUGCUUCAGUUUCACUUUCAAAACAGGAACAGAUUAAAAAUAAAAACAAGAGAGAGGAAACCAGCUGCGAUGACUAAAGUUUUUGCACUAGUUUGAUGAGGACGUGGUACCCGUCGUUUGGUGAAACACCAAUCUGUGUGCUGCUGUGAGGGUACUUUGUAGAUACUGUUAACACGUACAAUCUGUGUGCUGCUGUGCGGGAGUGAGAACCACAGUCUUAGCAACCAGGCCAGGUCUUCUGACCAACUUCACCAACCUGAAGUCAUCGAAGCUCCACUGGGGUUUCUCAGGUCAUACGGACACUGUAGGUGAAGAUACAGGUUGGAUUCAGCUCCAAGAGGACAUGUAUGACAAACUCAAGGCAAGUAAGAGGAUGAGCAGAGGUGGGACCCACAAAGGGGAGUCAGCCACAGGCAUCUCAGGUCAGGCUCAUUCUGAUGGAAAAGUGUUAUCCCACUCAGGGUGACGGAACAAACAGCACCUGUUUAGCACCAGAUGACUUGGGCAGACCGGAAGUCACGGAUUUAUAUCCUUCCAUAGGAGAACUCCUGCGCAAAAUGCAGUGGAUUGUGCAGGAAGAGGAAAGGAAUGGGGCUUGAACACAGGGAGAAACUGAGACCCACUCGAUUUGGGGGCCAGGUACACGUGUGCAGAGACAGCCUGCCUGGAAAAUGUGUCCAUGGCAGUGUGGCCGUGAGAGCAUCUUCACCUGCAUGGAAAGUGUGUCCACGGCAGUGUGACCGUGAGGGCAUCUUCACCUGCAUGGAAAGUGUGUCCACGGCAGUGUGGCCGUGAGAGCAUCUUCACCUGCCUGGAAAGUGUGUCCACGGCAAUGUGGCCGUGAGAACAUCUUCACCUGGAUAAAAAGUGUGUCCACGGCAGUGUGACCGUGAGGGCAUCUUCACCUGCAUGGAAAGUGUGUCCACGGCAGUGUGGCCGUGAGAGCAUCUUCACCUGCCUGGAAAGUGUGUCCACGGCAAUGUGGCCGUGAGAACAUCUUCACCUGGAUAAAAAGUGUGUCCAUGGCAGUGUGGCCGUGAGAGCAUCUUCACCUGGAUGGAAAGUGUGUCCACGGCAGUGUGACCGUGAGAGCAUCUUCACCUGCAUGGAAAGUGUGUCCACGGCAGUGUGGCCGUGAGGGCAUCUUCACCUGGAUGGAAAGUGUGUCCACGGCAGUGUGACCGUGAGGGUAUCUUCACCUGCAUGGAAAGUGUGUCCACGGCAGUGUGACCGUGAGGGCAUCUUCACCUGCAUGGAAAGUGUGUCCACGGCAGUGUGGCCAUGAGAACAUCUUCACCUGGAUAAAAAGUGUGUCCACGGCAGUGUGACCAUGAGGGCAUCUUCACCUGGAUGGAAAGUGUGUCCACGGCAGUGUGGCCGUGAGGGCAUCUUCACCUGGAUGGAAAGUGUGUCCACGGCAGUGUGACCGUGAGAACAUCUUCACCUGGAUGGAAAAUGUGUCCACGGGAGUGUGACCGUGAGAGCAUCUUCACCUGCAUGGAAAGUGUGUCCAUGGCUAUGUGGCUGUGAGAGCAUCUUUACCGGGUGCCAUUUGCAGAUGUUUUAGGAGCAACUGGACUUUGAUGGGGACUCUAAUUCAGUUAUAGGUCAGCGGUUCCUUGGCGAAGCAAUGGGGGGAGUGUCCAGGUUUCAUCCUAGAACAUAAUCAACUUUUCAGGGUGAGACCACGUGCAGCCACGUGCAGCCAGGCUCCCCGGUGACUGCGUCAACUGCCAGGCUUGAGCCUGACCUGGUCGCCAGGGAGCCAGAGCCCCAGCGGAUGUCACAGUGGCCUGAGCACAUCUCACUGGAACCCAUAAGCCUCAGGUGACAGGAGUUGGAAGUGACCCACCUGGCAUCCCAGUGCCAAGGGUGAGGGCAGAUAUGGGUAAUUAAAGAAAUGGCUGUUCCCUAUUUUAGUCACCAUUUUCUUCAUGGCUUCUCAGUUUUGCGUGUUUGACAAUGAACUCAGACAGCGCAGUAGAGCGUAGGGAGGGGAAGGGAUGACUGAGCUGCUGUCUUCCCAGGCCUCCGCUCUCCAGCUUCACCCUGUAGUUAUGGGACAGGGCUGGUGAUCUGCUCUCUCCGCAUCUGUUAGUGAGGCUUGUGGCCUAGUCCAGGGUCACUCCUGCCAGCAGUCAUAAGCCAGCCCCCUUCUGCCUCCGGCAGCAACAUGGCGGCAACAUCCCAGGCCUCUAAGUCCAUAAAUAAUAAACCACAAAGGCAGAUUUAAAAAAAAAAUGGC